UCUCCCCUUGAUCUCCAUGCCUAAAUCUGAUAGAGAUCAGAUAUAAGAGAGAAAAUGAGAGAGAAGAAGAGAAGAAGAAGGGUUCUUCUUCCCUUCAUGGUGAUUUGGUUCAGAUUCCAUCGGAUCUAUGCGAAGAGUUCGCAUAGCGAUCUCCUUCUUUGAGAUCUAGAAGAAGAGAUCUAGAUCCAAGAUUGAGCGAGAUCUGUAAGGUGUUAGCACACUGAUAAUCUGGGUGCUUCGAUUAGGCAUCUCCAUGUAGAUACCAGCA
rnacentral:lncRNA from 1 species